rnacentral:misc_RNA from 1 species
GAUGAAGAACGUAGCGAAAUGCGAUACGUAAUGUGAAUUGCAGAAUUCAGUGAAUCAUCGAAUCUUUGAACGCACAUUGCGCCCCUUGGUAUUCCGAGGGGCAUGCCUGUUCGAGCGUCAUUAUAACCCCUCAAGCUCAGCUUGGUAUUGGGGCCUGCCGCACGGGCAGCCCUUAAAAUCAGUGGCGGUGCCAUCUGGCUCUAAGCGUAGUAAUUCUUCUCGCUAUAGAGUCCCGGUGGAUGCUUGCCAUUAACCCCCAAUUUUCUAUGGUUGACCUCGGAUCAGGUAGGGAUACCCGCUGAACUUAAGCAUAUCAAUAAGCGGAGGA